rnacentral:rRNA from 1 species
CGGGUGAGUAACACCUGAACAACCUACCCUCGAGUGGGGAAUAACACANCGAAANUUGUGCUAAUACCNCAUAACAUCCCGAAAUCGCAUGAUUUUUGGAUCAAAAGCGAAAGUUGCUCGAGGAGGGGUUCGCGCCUGAUUAGCUAGUUGGUGAGGUAACGGCUCACCAAGGCAACNAUCAGUAGCCGGCCUGANAGGGUGAACGGCCACACUGGAACUGAGACACGGUCCAGACUCCUACGGGAGGCAGCAGUGGGGAAUUUUGCGCAAUGGGCGAAAGCCUGACNCAGCAACGCCGCGUGGAGGAUGAAGGCCUUCGGGUC